rnacentral:rRNA from 1 species
AUGAAGAACCUCGUGAGCUUUAUCGGAGGUCCAUCCUCCUCUCACCGCGCCAAAGAUAGUCCAACUCCGACGCAGAUGGAGAAGACGGUGGUUCUGUACCCCGGCCUCGCCGUGAGCCACUUCGUCCCCAUGAUGCGGCUCGCCGGCUCGCUCCUCGAGCACGGCUACGCCGUCUCCGUCGCGCUGACCAUCGACGCCGCCGUCACGGGGGACGCAGCGUUCGCGGGCCGCGUCGCCGCUGCCAUGCCGUCCGUCCGCUUCCACACGCUCCCGCCUGUGGAGGACCCGCCCAGGCUAGCCCCCAGCGCGCAGUUCCUCCUCAGCUACUUCCACCUCUUGCGCCGCUACAACGACCGCCUCCACGACUUCCUCUGCUCCUCCACGCGCAUCCACGCCGUGGUCGUCGACUCGCUGUCAGUGUCGGCCGAUACGCUGGAGGUCACCAAGAGGCUCGGCAUCCCCGGGUACGUCAUGUUCACCUCCGGCGCCGCCUUCGCACAGCUUCCUUAUGUCCUCGGGGAGGGCCGCCGGAGAAGCUUCAAGGAGCUGGGCGACGCCCCUAUCGAGUUCCUUGGCCUUCCGCCGGUUCCGGCUUCGCACCUGUUCGCCGAGGUGCUCGAGGACCCGGAGAGCGACACGUACAAGACGACGAUGGCCGAGCUGUCCCGGAUCCCGGACACCGAUGGCAUCCUGGUGAACACGGUCGAGUCAUUGGAGGCUCGCGCGGUGGCCGCUCUGAGGGACCCUCGGUGCCUCCCCGCCGGCCGGGUCAUGCCUCCGGUGUACUGCGUCGGGCUGGGGCCAUUCCUCGGCGGCAUCGAGAGCGAGGCGGACGAGCGGCACGAGUGUCUCGCCUGGCUAGACGCGCAGCCGGACCGCAGCGUGGUGUUCCUCUGCUUCGGGAGCACGGGCGCAGCGAACCACUCGGCGGAGCAGCUCAAGGAGAUCGCCGCCGGCCUGGAGAAGUCCGGCCACUGGUUCCUGUGGGUCAUGCGAGCACCCCACGGCGGCGACCCGGACCUCGACGCUCUCCUGCCGGACGGGUUCCUGGAGCGCACCGGCGGCCACGGCCUCGUCCUCAAGCAGUGGGCGCCGCAGGCCGAGGUGCUCCGCCACGGGGCCACCGGCGCGUUCGUGACGCACUGCGGGUGGAACUCGGUGCUGGAGGGCGUGGCGGCGGGCGUGCCGAUGCUGUGCUGGCCGCUCCACACGAAGUAG